rnacentral:lncRNA from 1 species
CUAGCAUCAAAGAGGUCAAUCCAAUUUCUGAACAUCCAAAGUGCUUUGCAGAGUUACUCUUCUGGAAUACCAAAAACACCAAUUGAAACCCUAGCUGCAGAAAUAUAAAAUGAGAAAAAGAAAUCAGUGAAGGGGGGAGAAUUGAGCGGCCACUGUUCAUAAAAAAGAAGAAACAAAAGAAACCCUAGGAUUGGAUUCGACGGCAAGGAGGCGGAAACAAAAGGAUCUUAACGAUAAAAAGAAAAGGGAGAAGCAGAGCAAAGGAAGCUACCUGAAAAGGGCACCCCAGUUCUUCGCACCGCUAUCAUAACCGCGCUGAGUCUUGCUUUGAGGAGGUAAUCAUCACAUUUCUUUCGACAUCCUCGCGACAUGUGACCUUUGUUUGUAUCUUUUGAUUUUGCUUUAGGGAAGGUUUAACGUUUUCUAGGUCUUUGUUGUCGGUGCGUUUCGGUUUCGUUGUGAAGGAGAUGAAUGUCUCAAGCAGAGAGAGAGACUUUGAGAGUAAAGGUUGAGGGAUAGCGUUUGAGAGAGAGAGAGAGAGAAAUCUUGAGGUUUGAGGGAGCGAUGAGGAAGGAGAGUCGUAGCGAGUGAGGGCGAGUUUGGUUGAGGACGACGAGAGAGUUUUUUCUUCCUUACUGUGUUUCAUUUUUCUUUCAGUUUCAGUUUGUUUUUUUUAUUAGUUUCUUUAUU